GAACCUCCAUAUGCCGCGGGAGCGGCCCAAAGAAAUAGCAAAAAGACCAAAAAAAAAGUCAGGAUGCUAAUAUUUGGCAUUAUAUGACAAGAUUAACUUCUUGAUCUAAUUUUAUAAACCCUCUAUUGUAAGUCACUGUUUAUAAACAUGCUCAAAGAUAGAUUUAGAAUUUGCUUCUGGACAUUCAGAAUUUCCAGGGCCAGGUUUUAAAGCAGGCCCUAGGAUAUAUUAUGUACAUUCAAAUUCUGGUUGUAGCAAUUAUAAGCUGUUUUAUUUUACCUUGAAAAAGUUACUGAGUCCUAUGUGCCUUAGUUUCCUCAUCCCAACAUUACCUACUUCAUAGAUCAGGUAUGUAGUAAAGGGUUUAGCAGAGGAGUUGGAACACAGUAAGAAUGCGCUAACUCUAGCUAUGAUCAACUGUUCUCAUCACAAGAACAAAGAGAGCUAGAGAGUGCCCAAAAGGGCUUAAGCAAUAUAGAUUAUGUGAAAAGACAGUUUCGUUUGUUUUAUGACUCCUCAACUUAUUUUUCUAAAAUUGGCCCAGAGGUUUGUAGUUUAUACAUCGGAAACAUGAAGUUCAAGAGUUUAACUGUUUGCAUCAAGUUGCCUCACUUGUUCUAUGGAUUAUGCAUUAAAUCACACUUCUUUGCUCCAUAUAAUAAACUAUUAAUUUGGUUUAUUUUGCAUUUGGCUUCUGUGGGGAGCCUUAUUUUCCUCCACCUUUUACCACAGUUGGCUGCAAAUUCUCAGUCUACAUCCAACGUUUAGUAACGUUUGUUGUAAAUGGAAACGAUCUGCCUCAAAUGAAGAUUUUAAACUCUUGGUUUCCUUUUGCUAAACUCAAGUAACCAUUUCUACAUUCCUAACUCUUGCCUAUGCCAAGGGGUUUAUUGUUAUCUUCUACCCUCAAACGGCCUAAAACAAAGGACCUCAAUUACCCCAUCUGUUAAACGAAGUAGACUCAAGUCUUUUUUCUAUACUGACUUUCCCUGUCCGACCCCAGUUUUGCCAUUAUCUGCCCUCUGACCCAGGCCUUGGCCCUUGACUCGAUUUCCUAAUUUACAAAUCACAACGUCCAGGUUACGUUCACUUCAUCCAGUGCCUCCCGCGCCAAGGGGCCUUUGGUGACCCGGGACAUCAGACCCACGGAACUGGCCACAGGGGCCGGGGUUAACGGCCCCCAGGACUCUACCAAAGGAUGGAAAGGGCGGUGUCAGAAGGCAGGGCCAAGCAGGAUGACAGAUCCGUACGUGGACAUCCUGGGGAGCCGCCAUGUUGGGGAAUGCUGACUACGGACAGCCGCGGGGCCCAAGUUCCAACGCGUUUUCUCCCGGCCUCCCUUCCUUCCCGGCCGGGCCUUGGGGCAGCGCCCCCUAAAGACCGGCCUGCGGCGAGCGAGGGCGGCGGCGCAGUGGUGGGGACUUUCCCUGACACGUGGGCGCGCACUCAGUCGGCCUGUUGGUGUGGAUCUAGUUAAGAGAGAGAGAGAGAGAGAGAGAGAGCGAGAGCGAGAGCGAGAGCCGAGGGUAUUAUCGAGAACGCUUUAACGGUGAUCCCUCCGCAUACUCCGCCCAUCAGCCACUCUAAAGAAUGCGGGGUUUUUUGCAUGGGGGCGGGGGGUGGGGGGAACCGCUGGAAGAAAAGUAUCAACUGGGAUAUCUCUGAAAGACAUCCAUCCAAACAUUGCCUGUGAUGUGGCCAGGUCCCUUACAGAGAUGCAUGGAUUGUCUCCGAGGGAUGCAAGCAGAGUGCCAUCUGAAUUGGAGUUAUCUACCGCCUAAGCUGGCUCUGGGGCGAGUCUCUGCAUCUGAGUCUCGUCUGACUCUUGUGUAAAAUAGACAUGACCACCCACCUCACUGGGCCAUGGAGAGCAGCAGCAGGAUCAAUCUUGGGACAAACUGAUACCAUGUACCUCUUGACUGAUGGAAUGAUAAGGAUAUAUAUAAUCUACAAUAUAUUCUUG